rnacentral:rRNA from 1 species
AUACGUAGGGGGCAAGCGUUGUCCGGAAUUACUGGGCGUAAAGCGCACGCAGGCGGAAUUGUAAGUCCGUUGUAAAAUUCAGAGGCUCAACCUCUGUCUGUCGGCGGGUACUGCAAAUCUAGAGUAUGUGAGAGGGAAGUGGAAUUCCUGGUGUAGCGGUGAAAUGCGUAGAUAUCAGGAGGAACUCCGGUGGCGAAGGCGACUUCCCGGCACAAGACUGACGCUCAUGUGCGAAAGCUAGGGUAGCGAACGGGAUUAGAUACCCCGGUAGUCCUAGCCGUAAAUGAUGGAUACUAGGUGUGGGUGUCGCAGGGCAUCCGUGCCGCAGUUAACGCGUUAAGUAUCCCGCCUGGGGACUACGGUCGCAAGACUGAA